rnacentral:rRNA from 1 species
AGUCGAGCGCAGGAAGCAAGUUGAUCCCCUUCGGGGGUGACGCUUGUGGAAUGAGCGGCGGACGGGUGAGUAACACGUGGGCAACCUGCCUGUAAGACUGGGAUAACCCCGGGAAACCGGGGCUAAUACCGGAUAAUACUUUCUUUUGCAUAAAGGAAAGUUGAAAGGCGGCUUCGGCUGUCACUUACAGAUGGGCCCGCGGCGCAUUAGCUAGUUGGUGAGGUAACGGCUCACCAAGGCGACGAUGCGUAGCCGACCUGAGAGGGUGAUCGGCCACACUGGGACUGAGACACGGCCCAGACUCCUACGGGAGGCAGCAGUAGGGAAUCUUCCGCAAUGGACGAAAGUCUGACGGAGCAACGCCGCGUGAGUGAUGAAGGUUUUCGGAUCGUAAAACUCUGUUGUUAGGGAAGAACAAGUUGGGUAGUAACUGACCCAACCUUGACGGUACCUAACCAGAAAGCCACGGCUAACUACGUGCCAGCAGCCGCGGUAAUACGUAGGUGGCAAGCGUUGUCCGGAAUUAUUGGGCGUAAAGCGCUCGCAGGCGGUCCUUUAAGUCUGAUGUGAAAUCUCGCGGCUCAACCGCGAACGGUCAUUGGAAACUGGAGGACUUGAGUACAGAAGAGGAGAGUGGAAUUCCACGUGUAGCGGUGAAAUGCGUAGAGAUGUGGAGGAACACCAGUGGCGAAGGCGACUCUCUGGUCUGUAACUGACGCUGAGGAGCGAAAGCGUGGGGAGCGAACAGGAUUAGAUACCCUGGUAGUCCACGCCGUAAACGAUGAGUGCUAGGUGUUAGGGGGUUUCCGCCCCUUAGUGCUGAAGUUAACGCAUUAAGCACUCCGCCUGGGGAGUACGGCCGCAAGGCUGAAACUCAAAGAAUUGACGGGGGCCCGC